GACGGAGGAUGCAAGCGUUAUCCGGAAUCACUGGGCGUAAAGCGUCUGUAGGUGGUUUAAUAAGUCAACUGUUAAAUCUUGAGGCUCAACCUCAAAAUCGCAGUCGAAACUAUUAGGCUAGAGUAUAGUAGGGGUAAAGGGAAUUUCCAGUGGAGCGGUGAAAUGCGUAGAGAUUGGAAAGAACACCGAUGGCGAAGGCACUUUACUGGGCUAUUACUAACACUCAGAGACGAAAGCUAGGGGAGCAAAUGGG
rnacentral:rRNA from 1 species